AGUUGACAGACACACACUGGCAGGGCCGCUGGCUGAUCCUUAGCAAUCCUUGCAUGUGGCAUUUAGGAAAGAAAUGACGGCUUCUGCCCGGCCUUUGCAGGGCACUUGUGUGCGAGUGAAGACGAGUGACGGGGAUGAACUAUCUUUGCUGAAAAGGUUAGCGGAUGUGCAUCAGCAUGGAAAAACAAUCCAGGAUUCGAGGAAGAAAGGAAGUCUCAAGUUUGGGAUGACAUAAGCAUCACAAAUGAAGAAACUUUGCGUAAUUUCAGAGCAGAUUUGUAAUGCCAUGAAGGUGAGUAAAUAAAGACAAUUUUCAUUUUUGAGUGUACUAUCCCUUUAAACACACACACAAACAGCUAUUGUUACACACACAGACUGUCCACAAUCUUUAGGACUGAAAACACAUUUACAGUCCCAAUAGCUUUACAUUUGACAGCUCGAAUUUGACAGCCCCCCUCCCCAUCCUAUCGACAGACACUUUCCCCCCUUGAGACGCUUUUACCUAAUGCUCAAACAUGUCUCAUAUGCAUCCUCACAUUAUCGGGGUUAUGGAGGCGUGAGCCUGCCUGAACGCGGCCCUCCCAUUUUCCGUUUUGUCGUGCCUAACCCAGCCUCCCCCCGCCGCGCUCCAGUAUGAAGUAAUGGGAUGCUAUUGAAGACGCUGCCUUUGAUGUCUGGAAGCAGAUGGGCAGAUGGGGAGAGCUGCGUGCUGACAGGUAUCUCUCUCGUCGUGUCUGAAGUCCAGAGGGAAAGAGACACACACUGAAGGAGACUGCGCUGAUUGUUCUGGCAAGUGUUUUGACUCCUCACCUCACUUCACCUGAAAUUAAACCCUGCCAACGAGACAUUUAGACGCUGAUGUUAGCCAAAUUAGCCUCCUACAGAUACUGGCGCUCAUUUAUGGCCUUUCUGCUGAUUAUAAUUUCCCCCACUGUCUUCACUCACGUAUGCCCAUUUGUCACGGAUUUGCUUCUUGUAUGGUUUGGCAUUCACGUCCAGGAGUUUCCUUGAGUCUUAAAUAAAAAGUUUCUUCCACA